AAUCUUGUUACACCUGGGAUUUUGGUGCCUUUAAUCUGAGAAAAAGUACAUAUCCAUUCAGUAAUCCAAAAGGACUUGAAACUCUUCUUCUCUGAACUAAAGCUAGAGUAUCAUGGGAUUUAAAGAAUCAAGGCUGAGCAGUGAUUUCAGAAGUGUUCUGAGGUCCCGUGGAAGAUCUGCCUCUCUCCAGCCUUGGGUUCUCUGCAUUCUCGAGCAUCUCAGGGUCCAGAAGAAAAAGAAGAAAGCCUACCAGUUCUGGGAGCAGUUUGGAUGAAGAGAGGGCGUUUGGAUGUUUAUUCUUCGGCCACCAUGUGUGAGACCACCGUGUCCUGAGCCGUCCACAGCAGGACCUUCUUCUCUCGGCACUUGGCACAGCACCAGUCACCUGGCUCAGCCCACGUGCCCCUUUCUCAGAGGCCCUCCCUCCCAGUGGAUUGCGCCAUGCUCUUCCUCCCUCCAGCCCGUGGUUUCUGCAGCACACAUCUCCAACCAAUGAAAUCAUGAUUUGUGGCAUUUGGAGCCGAGCCUGCGUGGAUCUGGUUCCCUGUUGUGUCCUGGCAGCCGGCACGAUGUUUUAUUAUGGUCAGAAGCAAAGGCUCGAGUCGGAAGGACCAGGUUUUACUGUGACCCUGCUGUUUUGCUCAGCAAAAUCUUCAAUCUCAGCUGAGUUACCGCGUGACCCACCUUGCGCAAAGAUGCUACAAUACAUUUCAAGAGAAUCAGCCACCUGCCUCCGAGAUUACGCCAGACCUUUGGACAGAAUCACGUGAGAUGCUAAGGAGUGCCAGAGGAAACUGAACAUCUGUGUCCGUAAGAAGCUGGGGAAGUGCAUUUGGCCCUCAGAGUUCCACAGGACUGGAUAGGGGGCGAUGUUAGAGCCCGUGUCACCUCUGCCUGGAGCUGCUUGAGUUUCCUUGGGCAGGUCAUUUCCUCUCGCUGUACCUUACUUUUCUCAUCUGUAUAGUGGGCUCAGUGAGCAUCCUUCAGCUCUUAGAGUCUGAAUAACAGGGUUUAGAUAGUACCACCAGAUUGACAUAAAGAAUAUAUUAGCUUACAUGCUGUUUUGUGUCAGAGUAGGAAAGGGGAUAUUUAAAACUAUAUUUAAAUGUCUGUUUUAAUUAACUAAAUAUAUUUUAUUUUAAUUUAAAGAUAUUAUACAAUUUUAAAAUAGAGAUUUGUCCCAGAGCUCUUAAAUGUCACAGUCUAUGAUUGUCCAGGCAUGUAUCUCCUUUGGGUCUUCCUCUUCUUUCUUUUUACUUUAUUAUCCAAUUAAAAUGUAUGUAUUUGUUCCCUUUGCUUUGUGCGGUCUUUUCCUUCUGAACAAGGCAGGGUGGUGUUGGGGAAGGGGACUCUGGACCCCUGAGUUCCACCUCCAGGUUUGCCUGAGUUACAGCUGUGUGUCCUUGGACAAGUCCCUCACCUUUCUGAGUUUCCAUCUGUUGAGAGUAUGAGUUCCAGUUAGCCAGGUAUCCACUUGACAAAAAGCUGAAAACCACACCUUGAUGUGUGGUUUCACCUGACAUUUCUGAGCCCUAUCACCUGCGGAUAGAUCAUCUCGCGAACUGAUGAGACAUCCUAAGAGACCACCAAAACUCAUGCAGUGGUCUCAUUUCACAUGAGAAUCGUGCAGCUGCCCAGGCCUCUGGUAACACACACCAUCUUUCAGUGGGUUCCCAGGGAGGCCCCGAGAAGCUUCUGAGCUGCCAUGAUUCAUCAGUAGUUUCCCCCCCCGAGCCCUGAGGCUAGGUUGAUAGUGUGUAUUCCCCUACUUGGAGAUGCCACAGCAGUCACAGGGGCUGAAUCACCCUCAGCCAUGCUACCCUGGGGGUCCCAGUAAGGUUUCUCACGUGGGCCAGAGCUCUGGCCGCUUGUGUUGGCAUUACACGUUGGUCUGGAGAGAACAGGGCUUCUGCAGGUGAAAGGUCGGGUGAAUGGGUGUGAAAGCUGCGUGGGAGCUGAGCCCACAAGGUCUCUGGUAGGUUGGUUUUCUUGUUCCCAGCAUAGUUUUGCACCCCUUCUGUGAGCUUUCUGUUUCUGAACACCCCUUGGGCCAAGCACUCCCUGAUUGACCAGGUCUGUGGGGAGAGAGUCCAGUCUGAUGCUCUUCUCCUACCUGCACACCUUUGCUUCCUGCCCUGCUGGGUUUUCUCUGAGAAGACUUCACUCAGGUGCUCAACCCUCACUACCUUCCUUUCCUUUUCCCUUUUUUAAAUGGAAGAGCGUGGACUUUAUAGACUCUGAAUUUGUCACCAAGCUUCCAAAAGCCUACCAUAAACAUUUUCCACAUGAACCAAAAUAAAAGGAAGAGCACAGUGAAUGGAAAGAAAAUC
rnacentral:lncRNA from 1 species